rnacentral:rRNA from 1 species
AGCGAACGCUGGCGGCAGGCUUAACACAUGCAAGUCGAACGGAUCCUUCGGGAUUAGCGGCGGACGGGUGAGCAACACGUGGGAACGGGCCCUUAGGUUCGGAACAACACAGGGAGACUUGUGCUAAUACCGGAUAAGCCCUUCGGGGGAAAGAUGUAUCGCGUUUGGAGCGGCCCGCGUCUGAUUAGCUUGUUGGUGCGGGUAAGGCUCACCAAGGCGACGAUCAGUAGCUGGGCUGAGAGGAUGGCCAGCCACACUGGGACUGAGACACGGCCCAGACUCCUACGGGAGGCAGCAGUGGGGAAUCUUGCGCAAUGGGCGAAAGCCUGACGCAGCCAUGCCGCGUGGAUGAUGAAGGUCUUAGGAUUGUAAAAUCCUUUCACCGGGGACGAUAAUGACGGUACCCGGAGAAGAAGCCCCGGCUAACUUCGUGCCAGCAGCCGCGGUAACAC